UUCAUCGGCCGGGAAAUCGAACCCGGGGCGCCCUCGUCGCAGGCGAGCAUUCUACCACUGAACCACCGAUGG
rnacentral:tRNA from 1 species